rnacentral:sRNA from 1 species
GAACAGUCGCACAUCGGCGCUUGCUGAGGAACGGAACCGGGAAAUCAGUAAACGCAUCCGCGAAAAUUUGGAAUUGCAAGUGCAACGGCGAAUCGCCGUAUAUCCAUUGAGUACUACCCAGCCCUCUGACUAAAGGACUCCAUCCCGGUAGCUCCGCAGAUCCUCAACCAGAUUGUGUUAGUGUUUCAGUGCUUUAAGUGCUUUGAGUAAAUCGGCGGGUGCCAAGUGCAGUCUGAUGGGCGAGAGUGAAUGAGCAGGGCAACAAUUAAUUGACGACAAUUGAUGUGCAGUUGGCGAUCGCGAAAGGCGGCGUGCAAAGAGUUUCUUGCAGACCAAACCAAAGGAACAAUAUUGACAUCUAACAAUAAAUUGUGAUACAUCACAUGUGAACUCCGCUGGCGAUUGGGCUUGCCUCCUUUCCCAAAAAAUCUGCGUUCAUAGAAGGCUCAACUAUUUAUAGUACAAACACAAUACCCACACAGAACCCAACUUACUAGGCCCCAAUCACACUCAUAAAACAUGGACUUCGAUCAGAUUCUGGCCAAAUGUGGCGACUUCAAUCGCUACCAGUUCAUGAUACUCGCCCUCUUCGGGUUCAUCAAUAUCAUCGUAUCGAUGCAUUACUUUA